GUGUGCCAGCACCUCAGACCACUGCUUGACCCUCAACACGGAGCCUUGUCUCGUCUUUGGGGGGAUUUACUGUAUGCUGCUAAGGACUGAUUGCCAGGAGUGUAAGCCGCUUGGAAGCUUUUCCUGUUCGCCUACUAGCAGCUAUUCGUAUGGUUCCUGUUCGUUUAUUUGAAGUGCUACCUUAUUCCCUUGUAUGCCGUUCGGGAGGUUGGAGCAUUCACUUAUUGGCGGUUCGUGAGUUUUGGUGAUUAU